AUAUUUUCUGCACUCUCAUCAGACAAAAACGUCCUAAGGGUUUAUUCAAGCUGGUUUUUCAUAAUUUUUUCCCCAAGUGAGUUAAUUCUUGCCUUUUUCUUGUAAUUUUUGUGUUUCUAAGACUUUUACAACUAGGUCCUAUUACUAAAUUCAUUAGUUUUUGAUUUUAUGAAUGAAUUUGAAAGUUGCUAUGAAUAUGUGCUGGAAUUUUAUGAUGAAAUAGGAUGAAAUUGAAGCUUUAAUUUGUUUUUGAGAUGAUUUUAUUAGGCAAUUUCAAUAGAAAUUGAUUUGUAGGACCUAAUUGUGAAAAAGUUUGAAAUUAAAUUCUAGUACGAAACUCUGAUUUCCAAAGAUUAUAAAGUAGUUUAAAGUGAUGGGAUAAAGUGUUAAUUGAGAAGAAUCAUCUCAAUUGAGAGGUUAAUUGAGCAGGGAUGAAAUUAUCAUUUAUUGAAAGUUUAGGGAAAAAUGGUAAUUAACAUCAUACACUAAAACAGUUUUGGACAGCAACAGUACUCUAACUUUGAAAAAUCACCAUAAAUUUUAUAAAUCGAAUUAGAGGAUGAAAAAAAUAUGGAAUUAAAGCUUAUUGAGUCUAGUUUCAUAUAGAAGAAAUGGUGUAAGCAAUGGAGUUGUAAAUCAUGAGAUAUAAUAGAUUUUGUGAGAUAAUGUCAGAAUGAAUUUGGGUUCCCCUGUUCUGACUUUGGAAAAUCAUUAAAAAAUUGUAAAAAAAAUGAUUAUGAGUUAUAAUUUAUAUGGUUAGAAUCCUUGAUGAGUCUAUUUUCAGAAGAAACAAACGGAGACAUCAUUCGAAUUCUGUACAAUGAGAUAAUUAAUUUUUAGUGAAGAGGGGUCGGAACUGUCAAACAAUGAAACAGGGGAAUUUUAAAGAAUAAACUGUACUUAUUUGCUACACCAAAAAUUAUGAAAAUUUUAUGGUAAGAAGAUAUGUGAGUCUAGUUUCAGGUAAAAUUAACGGAUCUUGAUUUGGAGUUCCGUAGCUCAAGAUAUAAAUAAUUUAGUGACUGUGACUCAGUGAGACAGCUUUGAAUGCACUAUAAAUAAUAAUGGAAUUUUAGAGAAUGUUACAUAUGAACAUGAAAUGUAUUAGAUUAAUGAUCAAAUUUAUUUAUUUAGAUCCGGAAAAGUCAAAUACGAAGCUAGAUAGAGGGAAAGAAAAAGUUCGGGAUUAGUAGAUUUUUGGUUACGAACAAGUAUCGAGGUAAGUUCGUGUAACUUGAAUUAUAUUCUUAAAUGCUUGAAAUGUUUGUUAUUGAUGUGAAAAUGAGUUGGAUGUUUAUUGUAUGAUAAUUGAUGAAGUAUUGAUAUUCUUGAUGAAAAGAGAAAAUAAAUCCCGGUUGAAUGGAAGAAAAAUUCGAUGGAUCUCUGAAAAGGAAUUGACGGUAAAAAGGAUCUAGCCCGGACGAGUGAUCCUAUCCUGAUAUAGCCCUCCCGAAGAAUAUGUGGAAAAUGGAUUUAGCCCGGACGGGUAAUCCGAAUUGGGGUCUGAAGUUAGCCUGGAUUGGUAAUUCAGAUCCAAGCUCAUUAGAGUAAUUGUCGUUGCAGGGGAUUUAGCCUGGACUGGUAAUCCCGACAAUACUCUAUGAGUUUACAUUACAGGGGAUUUAGCCUGGACUGGUAAUCCCGCUGUAAGGAUGAGGUUCGCGGGAGUGUGCUCUCUGAAAUGGAAAUGUGCGCACAUGAAUAUGAAUUGACGGACCCGGAUUUGUACACUAAAGUGUACCUCUGAAAAUCCAUCGAAAUUCCGAGAAAUUCAACGGGAUAAAUAUGAAAAAAUAACAAGGAAAUGGAAAUCAUGGAAUUGAUGAGCUCAUCAAUCAUGAUAUAUAUUAUUGAUACGUGGAAAUUAUUGGACUAAUUUGAAUGUUGAGUUUGUGCAUGAUAGGGGAAUAAUGUAUGGAAUGGGUGUAUGAAUGUUUAUUACAUUGCAUGAAAAAUAUUAGGUAAGUAUAAUUCUUGUUACAUGAGCUUACUAAGCACAAAGUGCUUAUCCUGUUUCUUUUCCCCUGUUUUGUAGUGUUAAGAGCUCGGAGGUCGGAUUUGGUCGGAGAAGCAUCACACUAUCAACGUCAAGAUCUCGGUACAUAAAGAAACUUAUUUUGGAAAUCAAUGGCAUGUAUAAGCUAGUAAAGUAGAUGUUAAUGUGGAAUGAAUGUAUGGUUAGCUAUUGGUAUGGCUAACAAAUUUUGGUUUUGGCAUGUGAUGAGAUUAUCUUAUGAAUACAAUAAAUCUAUUUUGAAAAUAUGUUGAAAUGGAUUGGUUAUGUUGGCUUGAU
rnacentral:lncRNA from 1 species